AAAGACUCUUAUGACCUUGUUAUAUAUAAUAAAUUAUUAUUUAAAUAAAAAUAAAAAAAAUAAAAAAUAAAAAAAAUAAAAAAUAAAAAUAAAAAUCUAAAAGUUAAAAAAUAAAAAAUAAAAUAUAAAAUAUAAAAAAAAAAUAGAAAAUAAGAAAAUAAAAAAAAAAAAAAAAAAAAAAAAAAAAAAAAUGUAAAUUUUUUCUUAUGUUUUCGAAUUAUACUUUUUCAAAAUUCGAACUUUUUUUAAAAUUUUUAUAUUUGAAUUUUUUUCGAAUUUUCUUUUUUUUUAAAAAACAUUCUUUUUGAAAAACGAAAAGUAUGUUUGAAACUAUUUUUUAAGUAUUUAUAUAUUUAUUAGAAUCAUAAAUUUCACAUUCCAAAAACUUUACCCCAUCCCUCAACUCUAAAC
rnacentral:lncRNA from 1 species